UAUGUGAUCGUCUCUCGCAUAUCAAUAAGCGGAGGAAAAGAAACUAACAAGGAUUCCCCUAGUAACGGCGAGUGAAGCGGGAAGAGCUCAAAUUUGAAAUCUUAAAGGGUUUCCCUUUACGAAUUGUAGUUUAAAGAAGUGUUUUCUGUUGAGGUUUUGGUAAAAGUUCUUUGGAAUAGGACAUCAUAGAGGGUGAGAAUCCCGUAUUUGACCUUUACUUUCAACUUUGUGAUACACUUUCAAAGAGUCGGAUUGUUUGGGAAUGCAGUCCAAAAUGGGUGGUAAAUUUCAUCUAAAGCUAAAUAUUGGCGAGAGACCGAUAGCGAACAAGUACCGUGAGGGAAAGAUGAAAAGAACUUUGAAAAGAGAGUUAAACAGUACGUGAAAUUGUCAAAAGGGAAGCGUUUGACACCAGUGUUGUUUUUCUGAAAAUCAAUUAAAGAACUGUUUAUGCUAAGUUGUUUAGACUUUAUCAGCUAACUGUUUAGUUUUGAGCUUUUCUUUAAUGCACUUUUCAGUUAACAAGUCAACAUCAAUUUCUUUUGCUGUAAAAAAGCUUGAGGAAGGUGGCUUGAGAUUCGUCUUAAGUGUUCAUAGCCUCUUGCCCAUGCAGUCGGAGAGAUUGAGGUCUGCAGCGUAGAUCCUUCGGGGCUAAAUGCAUUUGUGCUAAGUUAUAGCAUUUUAUAGACAACUUGUUGACUAUGAUUUGUCUUGUAGCUUACUCGCUUAUGUUAUUUUACCUACGCUUAGGAUGUUGAGUAGCGACAUACGCAC
rnacentral:rRNA from 1 species